AUCAGCUUGUUGGUGAGGUAAUGGCUCACCAAGGCGUCGACGGGUAGCCGGCCUGAGAGGGUGACCGGCCACACUGCGACUGAGACACGGCCCAGACUCCUACGGGAGGCAGCAGUGGGGAAUAUUGCACAAUGGGCGAAAGCGUGAUGCAGCAACGCCGCGUGAGGGAUGACGGCCUUCGGGUUGUAAACCUCUUUUAGCAGGGAAGAAGCGAAAGUGACGGUACCUGCAGAAAAAGCGCCGGCUAAUUACGUGCCAGCAGCCGCGGUAAUACGUAGGGCGCAAGCGUUAUCCGGAAUUAUUGGGCGUAAAGAGCUCGUAGGCGGUUUGUCGCGUCUGCUGUGAAAUCCCGAGGCUCAACCUCGGGCCUGCAGUGGGUACGGGCAGACUAGAGUGCGGUAGGGGAGAUUGGAAUUCCUGGUGUAGCGGUGGAAUGCGCAGAUAUCAGGAGGAACACCGAUGGCGAAGGCAGAUCUCUGGGCCGUAACUGACGCUGAGGAGCGAAAGGGUGGGGAGCAAACAGGCUUAGAUACCCUGGUAGUCCACCCCGUAAACGUUGGGAACUAGUUGUGGGGUCCAUUCCACGGAUUCCGUGAGCGCAGCUAACGCAUUAAGUUCCCCGCCUGGGGAGUACGGCCGCAAGGCUAAAACUCAAAGGAAUUGACGGGGACCCGCACAAGCGGCGGAGCAUGCGGAUUAAUUCGAUGCAACGCGAAGAACCUUACCAAGGCUUGACAUAUACGAGAACGGGCCAGAAAUGGUCAACUCUUUGGACACUCGUAAACAGGUGGUGCAUGGUUGUCGUCAGCUCGUGUCGUGAGAUGUUGGGUUAAGUCCCGCAACGAGCGCAACCCUCGUUCUAUGUUGCCAGCACGUAAUGGUGGGAACUCAUGGGAUACUGCCGGGGUCAACUCGGAGGAAGGUGGGGAUGACGUCAAAUCAUCAUGCCCCUUAUGUCUUGGGCUUCACGCAUGCUACAAUGGCCGGUACAAAGGGCUGCAAUACCGUGAGGUGGAGCGAAUCCCAAAAAGCCGGUCCCAGUUCGGAUUGAGGUCUGCAACUCGACCUCAUGAAGUCGGAGUCGCUAGUAAUCGCAGAUCAGCAACGCUGCGGUGAAUACGUUCC
rnacentral:rRNA from 1 species